UUUUUCCUUGUGAUAUUAUAAGACCGUUGUAUAUAGUUUGCAUGCCAUAAGAUUGUAAAUACUCACCUUUUUGUUUUGAUAUAUCGAGUGUUGAGGCCUAGGGACAGUUUUCAUAAAGAUUAGGGAAUGUAAGCUAAGCUUCAUUCACUGGGAUAUGUGUGUUUGGUGUGUUGGAGAGUGUCAGCUAUAUGCUUCACUUACGGGACAUGUUCGACUCUUUAAGUCAUUU
rnacentral:lncRNA from 1 species